rnacentral:misc_RNA from 1 species
CCGAGUUUACAACUCCCAAACCCCUGUGAACAUACCUAUACGUUGCCUCGGCGGAUCAGCCCGCGCCCCGUAAAAAGGGACGGCCCGCCGAGGUCCCUAAACUCUGUUUUUAGUGGAACUUCUGAGUAAAACAAACAAAUAAAUCA